CCAUAGCAUCCACUUAAAAUAUUAAAAAAAAUUGAAUCAGUCUGCUUACUUCCUUUUUGUCCUUCUCUCCCAAAUUACAAACCCUCAGAACUCCACUUCAUAGCAAUUUUCGUGCCCUGUUCUUGCCUUAUUCGAAUCAUUCAUCCCAACUCCACAUCGUAGAAGGCUUCUCGUCAUUCUCUCUUCCGCAUCAUCUCCUCCACCUCGCCGGAAACAAUGUCUCGACGGAUAAACAUUUGGUCACAACUCAGAGCCUCAGAUCUCUUGGUCCUAACCUUAUUCGAUUUGAGGGAAAAAUAUAGAUAUGUACCUCUCGUACUGGAGGUCGGACGGAGGAGAGCCGGAAGACUGGGCCGGAAAUGGAUCUCUUCUGCCACGCGGACUAGACGCCGGUGGAGGUCUGACGGAGGAGCCGGAGGAAAUGAAGGCAAGCUUAAUGGGAGUUGGAGAUUUUCGACUUCUGAACGGGGGCCUAGGGCGGGAGCCGUGUUUUGCUCUUUUUUUUAAUGAAUUAAAAAACACAUGACAUGCCACAUGGUAUAACACGUCAAGCGGGAAAACAAAGUGGUAGUAGAACUCAGCGGUAACUGUAACAUUACCCCCCAUGAUUCAUACGUUAGAGAAACCUGCACGUUACGUGCUCCA